rnacentral:rRNA from 1 species
GGUACGUCAUGGCUCAGAUUGAACGCUGGCGGGAUGCUUUACACAUGCAAGUCGAACGGCAGCACGGACUUCGGUCUGGUGGCGAGUGGCGAACGGGUGAGUAAUGUAUCGGAACGUGCCUAGUAGCGGGGGAUAACUUACGCGAAAGCGUAGCUAAUACCACAUACGCCCUUCGGGGGAAAGCGGGGGACCUUCGGGCCUCGCACUAUUAAACGGCCGAUAUCGGAUUAGCUAGUUGGUGGGUAACGGCUCACCAAAGGCGACGAUCCGUAGCUGGUUUGAGAGGACGACCAGCCGCACUGGGACUGAGUUACGGCCCAGACUCCUACAGGAGGCAGUGGGGAAUUUUGGACAAUGGGGGAAACCCUGAUCCAGCCAUCCCGCGUGUGCGAUGAAGGCCUUCGGGUUGUAAAGCACUUUUGGCAGGAAAGAAACGGCACGGGAUAAUACCCCGUGCAACUGACGGCUUACCUACCCAGAAUAAGCACCGGCUAACUACGUGCCAGCAACCGCGGUAAUACGUAAGUGCAAGCGUUAAUCGGAAUUACUGGGCGUAAAGCGUGCGCAGGCGGUUCGGAAAGAAAGAUGUAAUCCAGAGCUUAACUUUGGAACUGCAUUUUUAACUACCGAGCUAGAGUGUGUCAGAGGGAGGUGGAAUUUACGUGUAGCAGUGAAAUGCGUAGAUAUGCGGAGGAACACCGAUGGCGAAAGGCAGCCUCCUGGGAUAACACUGACACUCAUGCACGAAAGCGUGGGAGCAAACGAGUUAGAUACCCUGGUAGUCCACGCCCUAAACGAUGUCAACUAGCUGUUGGGGCCUUCGGGCCUUGGUAGCGCAAUAACGCGUGAAGUUGACCGCCUGGGGAAGUAAUACGGUCGCAAGAUUAAAACUCAAAGGAAUUGACGGGGACCCGCACAAGCGGUGGAUGAUGUGGAUUAAUUCGUGCAACGCGAAAAACCCCUACCCUUGACAUGUCUGGAAUCCCGAAGAGAUUUGAAAUUGCUCGCAAGAGAACCGGAACACAGGGUGCUACAUGGCUGUCGUCAGCUCGUGUCGUGAGAUGUUGGGUUAAGUCCCGCAACGAGCGCAACCCUUGUCAUUAGUUGCUACGAAAGGGCACUCUAAUGAGACUGCCGGUGACAAACCGGAGGAAGGUGGGGAUGACGUCAAGUCCUCAUGGCCCAUAUGGGUAGGGCUUCACACGUCAUACAAUGGUCGGGACAAGAGGUCGCCAACCCGCGAGGAGCCAAUCCCAGAAACCCGAUCGUAGUCCGGAUCGCAGUCUGCAACUCGACUGCGUGAAGUCGGAAUCGCUAGUAAUCGCGGAUCAGCAUGUCGCGGUGAAUACACGUUCCCAGGUCUUGUACACACCGCCCGUCACACCAUGGGAGUGGGUUUUACCAGAAGUAGUUAGCCUAACCGUAAGGAGGGCGAUUACCACGGUAAGUUCAUGACUGGGGUGAAGUCGUAAUAAGGCCA